UCCGGUAAGGAACCGGUUGGCGCCAGGCCGGCUCCCCCUCCCGCGCCGGCUAUAAAACGCGCCCAGGUGCGCCCUCUCCUCCCCGCGCUCCGGCCCCGUCUCUCCUCCGACCUUUCUCGUUCGUGACGUGCCGCGCCUCCUCGCGUUUGAGCGACUGUUUCCUUCCCCUUCCAAUUUCUCUUUUCCUCGUGACGAUUCGUCGCGUCUGAUUUUAUUUCAUUCACCCGCCGUCGCCGUUGCCUUGAUGUGCUCGCAGGGGAUUCGAAUUCGACGACUUGUCUCUCCUCCGCUUCCGUGCGAGUUCGGGAAGCGAUCGAUCGGGGGAUUCAUCCGUUUGGUUUGCGAGUCUAUCUCAGAAUCUGUUUCGCGUGUCCGCUUCUGUUUGCAACUGUGGAUCAUGUGUUUCUCGUCGUGUUCGCAUCCGCGCGUGCAGGUUGAAGGAUCGUGCGUGGUUUUUGGAAUUGGGGCUUAAUUAUGGAGCCGGAGGCCGAGGCAAGGUCAGUUUCCCGUGCUCGUUCAGAUCGCUUCCUUGGUUCCGUCACCUGCGUUCGUCCGUGAUUCCAGAUUUGAAAUGAAUAUGGCCCGUGUGAUCUUCUGGUUCCCCGAGGGCUGUGGUUUAUUCCGUGUCAUCCGUUAGUGCGGGGUGUGUUAAUUCGAGGCCCUCGUGGAGGAUUCUUGUUGUACCGGCUGAUCUCGGUUUUGGUAUGUCUUUGUCCUCUCACCCUAUGUAGAUGCAGAGGAAGCCAGAGGGUGCGCUAGUUCUACAGAGGUGGAGGUUUGAUCUCUUCUCAUGAUUAUUUUGAUUCAUUGGUUGAGGUUCAGCGGCUGUCCUGAUAUGGUCAGAUCUUCUCGGGUGAUGAAGCUUAGGAUCUCUUACCAACCUGAACCUGCGAUCCGCGUUUAAUAUUUAUAAAUCCCUCCCAAUUUUAGUUUCUUGGUCUGCACACUAGUCAACGGCAAUUCUGAUCUGAAUUCGUUGGUUCUCCAGGAAUUAUAAUUUGGAUUACACAGCAUAGCAGGAGCCGGGAGCAACAUCUGCGUUUGGAUGAUUAAUUGCCCCCUCUAUUUAAUUCCUCCAUCUACACAGUUCAAUCUUAGUCGGUUUUGAUUUAGAUUUGUUGAUGGUUGUCCAGAAGUUGGGAUUAUACGGCUUAGCGGGAGCGACUUGUCAUCUUCCUCACCUGUGUUUGGACGAUCAUUCCCUUUCUGUUCAUUUUCUUUUCUCCACAGUUCAGUUAGUCUUCACACAACACACAAUUCUGAUUUGGAUUUUGUAUUUGUUGCUGGUACUCCAGAUAUUGGAAUUAUACGGCUUAGCGGGUGGCCCUAUUUUCCCUCGUCACGGCGGUUCUUCUGUGGCUCGACAUUUUCUUACUCGUCAAUAAUAUAAUUGGAACAUACCAGACAAGUUUCUCUGCCUUAGUUUGUCAUUCUCAGCUCUUGCAGACACCAUCUUGGAAGGGAUAUAAUUUGAAUCGGUGUUGUGCUGUCUACCUGACCUUCCCAGCCCAACUUCCUCAUAUAGCAUUUACCUCUUCCUCGUUUGAAGCAUGCUUCAGUUGAGCCUAGUUUCCCCCUAAUUUACAGAGACGUAUCUUGCUCGUUGCAGGUUUGACGAAUGCAAGUCCAACCUGAUGCUGAGUUGAAUCUGUUUGCAGUUCUUUCUAAAUCUAAUCAAUUCAUUAUUACUUAGAUAACCUUUAAGAUCUUCUCACUAGGCAAUAUUUUGAAUUCAGAUUUAUCUCAAAGGUUCACGAAUGGAGCUUCAAACUUGGCAAAACCUACAAACAAAAAAGAGACUCCUCCAUUUUUAACUCUUGCCUCUUUUUCUUUAUAUCACGUAGCUACUUUGUUCAUGCCUUUGAUUUAGGCUUUUUUGCUUCUGCCCCUGUGAUUGCAGAUUUAUUUUAGCCCAGAGAGUGUUGGCAGUGAGUCGAAAUCUGUUAAAAUCGUUUGGUUUGCAAUCUAUCUCUAUGCGUUUCAAUUUGUUAUCUGUACACUUAUCCUGUCGACUGCAGGCCAUAUUUAGGAAGUUUGUGCUUAUGGGCAAAUCUCUUUACAGUGAGUCAGGUCAGUGUUCUAUCAACGGUUUGUUUGGUUUAGUUGUGUUCCUCCACACAUUGGUUGCAGGAUUGGAUCUGGAAUGUGGAGAUCCCUAUGAUGUUGUAUGUCGGAAGGGGAUUUGAGCAGGUCAGAUUUAAAUGGCUAUCGCCGGUGUGGUCUUCUGGUUCUCAUCACGCAUCAUCAGCUAAUAUGAGGUGGAUUGGAGGUCCUGGUAGAUUCUUAUUGUAGCAGCUGAUCGCACUCUUGGUGUGUGUUUGUGCUCCUUUGCUUGCAGCAGAUGCAGGAGUGUAGUAGUUCUGCACAGAUGAAUCAUAGGGUGGAGGUUUGGUUUCUGUUUGUCGUUUUGAUUGAUUGGAUAAUGAAGCUUAGGAUUCUUGCCAACCUGAAACUUGUGAUCUGCAUUUGGAUAAUGAAUUUCAUCUCGAUUCAAUUUAUUUGGUCUGUGCAGUACAAUUUAGUCCUUGGCAGUUCUGAAUCCAUUUGUGGUUUUCCAGAAAUUGAGCUUAACAAGGUUUAGCAGGAGCAACCUAUCUUCUUGUUGAUCAGUGUUUGGAUGAUUAUGAACCCCCUAUAUUUAAGUCUCUGCACAAUUCAACUUUAGUCCCCCACAGUUUGAUUUGGAUCUGUUGCUGGUUGUCCAAAUAUUGGGAUUAUAUGGCUUAGCGGGAGUGACCUAUCUUCUUGCUGACCUGCGUUUGGAUGAUCAUUACUCUCUGCUUAAUUUCUUCUCAGCUCAAUUAGUUGUCCAACAAUUCUGAUUUAGAUUUGUUGCUGGUUCUCCAGAAAUUGGAAUUAUACGGCUUAGCGGGUGAUCCUAUGUUUCCUCAGCAUGGCGGUUCUUUCUGUGGCCCAACAUAUCUGACCUUUUGUCCUCCCUUGAUAAUUGAACUUUCUAGAUAUUUGUUUCUUAGCCUUCCUUGGUAAUUCUUGGCUCUUGCAGAUGCUGGCUUGGAACCGAAAUAAUUGGAACCAGUGUUGUCUAUCUGACCUUCGUGGCCGAGACAGGCUUACUUACCCUUUACCUCUUACUUAACCUUCACCUCAGCAUUUGAUGCAUGCUUUAGCUGAGCCUAGUUUUCCUCCUAUCUUAUAGAAAGGUAUCUUCCUUGUUGCAGGUCGUAGUUGAUGAACUCAAGUCGAACCUGGUGCUGAGUUGAAUCUGUUUGCAGUUCUUCUAAAUCUACUAUUUCCUCAAGUCAUCAUAACUUAGAUAACCUUUAAAAUCAUCUUACCAGGAAAUAUUUUGAAUACAGAUCUGCAAAGGUUCAACAAAGGAGAAUCAAACUAAUGGAACAUCCUACAAUGAAAAAGACUAUUUUAACCCACCUCUUACUUUUUUGUUUCACGUAGCUACUUGCUUGUGUCUUUAAUUUAUGUUUUUCUUUCUACCCUCCCUUUGGUGUUUGCAGAUUGAGCCCAAACCAUGCUGGUUGUGAGUCGGAAUCUGUUAAAUCAUUUGGUUUGCGGUCUAUCUCUCUUUCUGGAUGGAUUUGUUGUUUGUACUCUUGAUCCCUGUGCUGGUCUUCUGCGUGUUAUCAGUUGCAGGAUAUAUUUAGGAAGUCUGGGCCGCAGGAUAUUUUUGGAUAUGUUGGUUCUCCAGAAAUUGGAAUUAUAUGGCUUAGCGGAGAGACACAUCUUGCUCUGCUUUGCGUUUGGAUAAUUAUCACUCCCUCUGUUUUGCUCUUUCGUCUCCACUGUUCUGUUUUGGUUUCCCACAAUUCUAAUUUGAACUAUUUGUUGGUGGCUCUCCAGAAAUUGGAAUAAUACGCCUUAGAAGGCGGUCCUAUUUUGCAUCGUGGCAGUUCCUUCUAUGGCUAAAACUUUUCAACCUUUUUACUCUAUAAUUGAACUCUCUAGACCUUAGGUUUUCUUUGCCUUGGUAAUUCUCAGCUCUUGCAGAUACCGACUUGGAAAGGAAUCUGCAGUUUGGAACUGGCGUUGUUGUCGUCCAUCAUCCAUACCUGACCCUAGACAGGCUUUUACUUGUUCCCGCUCAUCGUUUUAUCCAUGCUUUAGCUAUUUAUAUAUAAGCAGCAUUUCCCCUAACCAAAAAUUUAUAGAAAAGGCCUCUUGCUCGCUGCAGGUUGUAGUUGAAGAACUCCUUUCCAACCCGAUUCAUAUGCAAAACAAAUAUAAGGAUAAUCCAGAGCUUUCAACUAAUGGCACAUCCUACAACCGAAGAAGACUCUUACCUUCCUAUUUUCUUUAUUUCAUUUAUUAGUUACUUGGCCAUCGCUUUGAUAUAGGUUUUUGCCCCUGCCCUUCCUAUGGUUGCAGAUUGUUCUUUAGCCCAGGCCAUGUGGGCAGUGACUAGCUCCCCAUGGUUGUUAUCUGUACUCUUGAUCCCUGUGCUCUCUAGGUCUUCUGUGAGUGUGGGUUGGCAAGAUAUAAUAGUUAGGAGUUUGGGCCCAAACCGCUCUGUACAUGGAGUCAGGUCAGAUUCUUGUAGACAGUCUGUUUGUUUAAUUUGUUAUGGUCUCUACAAUUUAGCUUGCAGGACUGGAUCUCGAUCUGGUCUGGAAAUGAAGCUUCAUAUGGUGUGUGAACAUAUGGUGAAGGGUACUUGAGGCAGGUCAGUUUCCCAUGUUUGGUCACAUUGAUUUGCUGGAUUCCUCAUCUGUGCUUGGUGACGUCAGAUUUGAGUGGCUAUACCUUAGUUCCUUGAUUUAUGUUUGUCUGAUGGCUGUUUGGGAGCUUCGUUCUGGAUGGAGGAAUCUUCCUCGACCACAAAAUAAAAACUUAAACCUGGACUCGAUGCUUGUUUCAACUGAUUUCCCAGAUUUUAUUAUGGUCUGAUUUUCCUUGAAGAAACUAUAAGUAUGCCUGUCAUUUGGGCCGUUCAUUGAUUUGCAUUAUUGAAGUUUUUAUUGCAAGAUUGUAGAGUUGGGUAGUCAGUCAGCGCUGGGACUUGGUGAAAGCAAACGGGCUUCCCUGAUGGUUUUGACUUCUGAUUAGUGAUCCUGAAGCAUAAUGAUAUGGUCUUUGUGGUAGUUUUCAGUUUGAACUUGCAUUCAGUGGCCUCAUAUCUUUGGUGCAGCUUGGAGUUGGUAGUGUGCACAUCUGAUUCUUUCAACUGUCCUGAAGCAUCUUACUUGGUUUCUGUUCUGCCAUCUUACUGGUUACGGUAUCUUCUUCAACUUGCAUGUGGUUUGGAUGGAAUAUGAUCUCAUCUUCUGCUUGAAUCAAGAAAAUGCUAGAAGUCUCAAACAAGGGUCCGAAAUGGAAAUAUCAGUUCGUACUCAGUUUGUAUAGAAGAUUAUCGAAGUUUGAUUUGACUAUAAAUUACCUGGUUACCAUACUGUUUCAGGAAGUUUGGUUUUGAUAUUUGGCUGCUUGUAUCUUUCGACUUGCAAAUUUAUCACCCAAUAGGAAGUAAAGAUCGUAUGUACAUGAGCUCUGAAUGCAGUAAAAAUGUUAAUGCAUAUAUAUAUAUAUGAAUUGGUCAUACUUGGAUUUGUUCUACA